UUUCGUAGGUGAACCUGCGGAAGGAUCAUUCAUAAUAAGUGUUUUAUGGCACUUUUUUAAAUCCAUAUCCACCUUGUGUGCAAUGUCAGGGUUGAUUUUUCUCUCGAGAGGAUCAGCCCCAAACAUCAACUAUAUCUCAACUCUUUGUCUGAAAAAUAUUAUGAAUAAAACAAUUCAAAAUACAACUUUCAACAACGGAUCUCUUGGCUCUC
rnacentral:misc_RNA from 1 species